UACCUCAUCAAUUGGAAGGAAUUCCUUCCGGUUGAUGGGGUUGUUAUACCUCAUCAAUUGGAAGGAAUUCCUUCUGGUUGAUGGGGUU
rnacentral:miRNA from 1 species